rnacentral:rRNA from 1 species
AUUGAACGCUGGCGGUAGGCCUAACACAUGCAAGUCGAACGCGAAAGUCCUUCGGGAUGAGUAGAGUGGCGGACGGGUGAGUAACGCGUAGGAAUCUGUCCUGUAGUGGGGGAUAACGUUUCGAAAGGAACGCUAAUACCGCAUACGCCCUACGGGGAAAGCGGGGAGUCUUCGGACCUCGUGCUAUAGGAGGAGCCUGCGUCGGAUUAGCUAGUUGGUGAGGUAAAGGCUCACCAAGGCGACGAUCCGUAGCUGGUCUGAGAGGAUGAUCAGCCACACCGGAACUGAGACACGGUCCGGACUCCUACGGGAGGCAGCAGUGGGGAAUAUUGGGCAAUGGACGAAAGUCUGACCCAGCCACGCCGCGUGAAGGAUGAAUGCCCUCUGGGUUGUAAACUUCUUUUGUAUGGGAAGAAAUUCCGAACGUGUUCGGAGCUGACGGUACCAUAAGAAUAAGCAUCGGCUAACUCCGUGCCAGCAGCCGCGGUAAUGUGUGA